rnacentral:rRNA from 1 species
UCAAGCGAAUAAGUGCAUGAGGUGGAUGCCUUGGCGAUAACAGGCGAUGAAGGACGCGACAGCCUGCGAUAAGCCUCGGGGAGCCGGCAAAUAGGCGUUGAUCCGAGGAUUUCCGAAUGGGGAAACCCAACCCGCAAGGGUCACCCGCACCUGAAUACAUAGGGUGCGAGGAGCGAACCUGGAGAACUGAAACAUCUCAGUAACCAGAGGAACAGAAAUCAACCGAGAUUCCCAAAGUAGUGGCGAGCGAAUUGGGAAGAGCCUUCAUGAUUUAGCAUUCUUGUUAGUGGAACAGUCUGGAAAGUCUGGCCAUAGUGGGUGAUAGCCCCGUACGCGAAAAGUGCUGUGUGGAACUAGGCUCGAGACAAGUAGGGCGGGACACGUGAAAUCCUGUCUGAAGAUGGGGGGACCAUCCUCCAAGGCUAAAUACUCGUGAUCGACCGAUAGUGAACCAGUACCGUGAGGGAAAGGCGAAAAGAACCCCGGGAGGGGAGUGAAAUAGAUCCUGAAACCGCAUGCAUACAAAAAGUAGGAGCCCGCAAGGGUGACUGCGUACCUUUUGUAUAAUGGGUCAGCGACUUACAUUCAGUGGCAAGCUUAACCGAAUAGGGGAGGCGCAGCGAAAGCGAGUCCGAACAGGGCGACUGAGUUGGUAGGCGUAGACCCGAAACCGGAUGAUCUAGCCAUGGCCAGGCUGAAGCGGGGGUAACACCUCGUGGAGGGCCGAACCCACUCCCGUUGAAAAGGUAGGGGAUGAGCUGUGGCUAGGGGCGAAAGGCUAAUCAAAUCCGGAAAUAGCUGGUUCUCUCCGAAAACUAUUUAGGUAGUGCCUCAAGUAUUACCAUCGGGGGUAGAGCACUGUUAUGGCUAGGGGGUCAUGGCGACUUACCAAACCAUUGCAAACUCCGAAUACCGAUGAGUACAGCUUGGGAGACAGUGCACCGGGUGCUAACGUCCGGACUCAAGAGGGAAACAACCCAGACCGCCAGCUAAGGUCCCUAAUAUUGGCUAAGUGGGAAACGAAGUGGGAAGGCUAAAACAGUCAGGAUGUUGGCUUAGAAGCAGCCAUCAUUUAAAGAAAGCGUAAUAGCUCACUGAUCGAGUCGUCCUGCGCGGAAGAUGUAACGGGGCUAAGCCAGUAACCGAAGCUGCGGAUCGUGGCAACACGAUGGUAGGAGAGCGUUCCGUAAGCCUGUGAAGGUGUGUCGCGAGGCAUGCUGGAGGUAUCGGAAGUGCGAAUGCUGACAUGAGUAGCGUUAAAGGGGGUGAAAAGCCCCCUCGCCGAAAGCGCAAGGUUUCCUACGCAACGUUCAUCGGCGUAGGGUGAGUCGGCCCCUAAGGCGAGGCAGAGAUGCGUAGCUGAUGGGAAACAGGUCAAUAUUCCUGUACCGAUUACAAGUGCGAUGUGGGGACGGAUCUUAAUAGGUUAUCCGGCGGUUGGAUGUGCCGGUUUAGACAGAUGUAGGCGACACGUAGGCAAAUCCGCGUGUCAUAUACCGAGGCUGUUGAUCGAGCGAGCUUGCUCGCGAAGUAACUGAACGAGGUCCCAGGAAAAGCCACUAAGCUUCAGCUUGUAAUUGACCGUACCGCAAACCGACACUGGUGCGCGAGAUGAGUAUUCUAAGGCGCUUGAGAGAACUCUGGAGAAGGAACUCGGCAAAUUGACACCGUAACUUCGGAAGAAGGUGUGCCCUAGUAGAUUGGGGGAGAACAUCCCUAGGUCGAACGGGCCGCAGAGAAUCGGUGGCUGCGACUGUUUAUUAAAAACACAGCACUCUGCAAACACGAAAGUGGACGUAUAGGGUGUGACGCCUGCCCGGUGCUGGAAGAUUAAAUGAUGGGGUGCAAGCUCUUGAUUGAAGUCCCAGUAAACGGCGGCCGUAACUAUAACGGUCCUAAGGUAGCGAAAUUCCUUGUCGGGUAAGUUCCGACCUGCACGA